GCCAAGGCACAAGCCAAGGAGAGCGUCUAGACCAAGACCAAGACCAAGGGGAGCGUCUAGGACGUGAUGGUGAGCGUCUAGGACGUGAAGGUGAGCGUCUAGGACGUGAAGGAGGGAGGCUAUCCAUGGAGCUAGACCGUCUAGGACCCCUUACAAGAUCAAUGGCCAAACAUAUUCAAACACAAGCAAAUGAGGCCACGGAUGGAAGAGAGAAGGCUUUGUAUAUGUUUGCAUAAAGGCCCAUUGGGGGUACUUAGUAGAAAGGAUAG
rnacentral:lncRNA from 1 species